rnacentral:tRNA from 1 species
AGGCAGAAGCCCGUUGGUUGAGGCAUAUAGCUGUUAACUAUAGGAUCAUGGGAUCAAAGCCCAUCUGUCUA